GAUGAACGCUAGCGGCAGGCCUAAUACAUGCAAGUCGAACGGUGUCUUCGGACAUAGUGGCGCACGGGUGCGUAACACGAAUGCAACCUACCUUACAUUGGGGGAUAGCCUUUCGAAAGGGAGAUUAAUACCGCAUAAGACAGUAGCUGGGCAUCCAGCAGCUGUUAAAGAUUUAUCGAUGUAAGCUGGGCAUGCGUCCAAUUAGCUAGUUGGUGAGGUAACGGCUCACCAAGGCAAUGAUUGGUAGGGGAACUGAGAGGUCAAUCCCCCACACUGGCACUGAGAUACGGGCCAGACUCCUACGGGAGGCAGCAGUAGGGAAUAUUGGGCAAUGGACGCAAGUCUGACCCAGCCAUGCCGCGUGCAGGAUGAAGGCGUUAUGCGUUGUAAACUGCUUUUAUACAGGAAGAAACGACUCUUGCGAGAGGCAUUGACGGUACUGUAUGAAUAAGCACCGACUAACUCCGUGCCAGCCGCCGCGGUAAUAC
rnacentral:rRNA from 1 species